GGUUAAGCGACUAAGCGUACACGGUGGAUGCCCUGGCAGUCAGAGGCGAUGAAGGACGUGCUAAUCUGCGAUAAGCGUCGGUAAGGUGAUAUGAACCGUUAUAACCGGCGAUUUCCGAAUGGGGAAACCCAGUGUGUUUCGACACACUAUCAUUAACUGAAUCCAUAGGUUAAUGAGGCGAACCGGGGGAACUGAAACAUCUAAGUACCCCGAGGAAAAGAAAUCAACCGAGAUUCCCCCAGUAGCGGCGAGCGAACGGGGAGCAGCCCAGAGCCUGAAUCAGUGUGUGUGUUAGUGGAAGCGUCUGGAAAGGCGCGCGAUACAGGGUGACAGCCCCGUACACAAAAAUGCACAUACUGUGAGCUCGAUGAGUAGGGCGGGACACGUGGUAUCCUGUCUGAAUAUGGGGGGACCAUCCUCCAAGGCUAAAUACUCCUGACUGACCGAUAGUGAACCAGUACCGUGAGGGAAAGGCGAAAAGAACCCCGGCGAGGGGAGUGAAAAAGAACCUGAAACCGUGUACGUACAAGCAGUGGGAGCCUCUUAAUGGGGUGACUGCGUACCUUUUGUAUAAUGGGUCAGCGACUUAUAUUCUGUAGCAAGGUUAACCGAAUAGGGGAGCCGAAGGGAAACCGAGUCUUAACUGGGCGUUAAGUUGCAGGGUAUAGACCCGAAACCCGGUGAUCUAGCCAUGGGCAGGUUGAAGGUUGGGUAACACUAACUGGAGGACCGAACCGACUAAUGUUGAAAAAUUAGCGGAUGACUUGUGGCUGGGGGUGAAAGGCCAAUCAAACCGGGAGAUAGCUGGUUCUCCCCGAAAGCUAUUUAGGUAGCGCCUCGUGAAUUCAUCUCCGGGGGUAGAGCACUGUUUCGGCAAGGGGGUCAUCCCGACUUACCAACCCGAUGCAAACUGCGAAUACCGGAGAAUGUUAUCACGGGAGACACACGGCGGGUGCUAACGUCCGUCGUGAAGAGGGAAACAACCCAGACCGCCAGCUAAGGUCCCAAAGUCAUGGUUAAGUGGGAAACGAUGUGGGAAGGCCCAGACAGCCAGGAUGUUGGCUUAGAAGCAGCCAUCAUUUAAAGAAAGCGUAAUAGCUCACUGGUCGAGUCGGCCUGCGCGGAAGAUGUAACGGGGCUAAACCAUGCACCGAAGCUGCGGCAGCGACACUAUGUGUUGUUGGGUAGGGGAGCGUUCUGUAAGCCUGCGAAGGUGUACUGUGAGGUAUGCUGGAGGUAUCAGAAGUGCGAAUGCUGACAUAAGUAACGAUAAAGCGGGUGAAAAGCCCGCUCGCCGGAAGACCAAGGGUUCCUGUCCAACGUUAAUCGGGGCAGGGUGAGUCGACCCCUAAGGCGAGGCCGAAAGGCGUAGUCGAUGGGAAACAGGUUAAUAUUCCUGUACUUGGUGUUACUGCGAAGGGGGGACGGAGAAGGCUAUGUUGGCCGGGCGACGGUUGUCCCGGUUUAAGCGUGUAGGCUGGUUUUCCAGGCAAAUCCGGAAAAUCAAGGCUGAGGCGUGAUGACGAGGCACUACGGUGCUGAAGCAACAAAUGCCCUGCUUCCAGGAAAAGCCUCUAAGCAUCAGGUAACAUCAAAUCGUACCCCAAACCGACACAGGUGGUCAGGUAGAGAAUACCAAGGCGCUUGAGAGAACUCGGGUGAAGGAACUAGGCAAAAUGGUGCCGUAACUUCGGGAGAAGGCACGCUGAUAUGUAGGUGAAGUCCCUCGCGGAUGGAGCUGAAAUCAGUCGAAGAUACCAGCUGGCUGCAACUGUUUAUUAAAAACACAGCACUGUGCAAACACGAAAGUGGACGUAUACGGUGUGACGCCUGCCCGGUGCCGGAAGGUUAAUUGAUGGGGUUAGCGGUAACGCGAAGCUCUUGAUCGAAGCCCCGGUAAACGGCGGCCGUAACUAUAACGGUCCUAAGGUAGCGAAAUUCCUUGUCGGGUAAGUUCCGACCUGCACGAAUGGCGUAAUGAUGGCCAGGCUGUCUCCACCCGAGACUCAGUGAAAUUGAACUCGCUGUGAAGAUGCAGUGUACCCGCGGCAAGACGGAAAGACCCCGUGAACCUUUACUAUAGCUUGACACUGAACAUUGAGCCUUGAUGUGUAGGAUAGGUGGGAGGCUUUGAAGUGUGGACGCCAGUCUGCAUGGAGCCGGCCUUGAAAUACCACCCUUUAAUGUUUGAUGUUCUAACGUUGGCCCCUGAUCGGGGUUGCGGACAGUGUCUGGUGGGUAGUUUGACUGGGGCGGUCUCCUCCUAAAGAGUAACGGAGGAGCACGAAGGUUGGCUAAUCCUGGUCGGACAUCAGGAGGUUAGUGCAAUGGCAUAAGCCAGCUUGACUGCGAGCGUGACGGCGCGAGCAGGUGCGAAAGCAGGUCAUAGUGAUCCGGUGGUUCUGAAUGGAAGGGCCAUCGCUCAACGGAUAAAAGGUACUCCGGGGAUAACAGGCUGAUACCGCCCAAGAGUUCAUAUCGACGGCGGUGUUUGGCACCUCGAUGUCGGCUCAUCACAUCCUGGGGCUGAAGUAGGUCCCAAGGGUAUGGCUGUUCGCCAUUUAAAGUGGUACGCGAGCUGGGUUUAGAACGUCGUGAGACAGUUCGGUCCCUAUCUGCCGUGGGCGCUGGAGAACUGAGGGGGGCUGCUCCUAGUACGAGAGGACCGGAGUGGACGCAUCACUGGUGUUCGGGUUGUCAUGCCAAUGGCACUGCCCGGUAGCUAAAUGCGGAAGAGAUAAGUGCUGAAAGCAUCUAAGCACGAAACUUGCCCCGAGAUGAGUUCUCCCUGACUCCUUGAGAGUCCUGAAGGAACGUUGAAGACGACGACGUUGAUAGGCCGGGUGUGUAAGCGCAGCGAUGCGUUGAGCUAACCGGUACUAAUGAACCGUGAGGCUUAACCUU
rnacentral:rRNA from 1 species